UACGUAGGGUGCAAGCGUUGUCCGGAAUUAUUGGGCGUAAAGAGCUCGUAGGUGGCGGGUCACGUCGGGUGUGAAAGCCCGGGGCUUAACCCCGGGUCUGCAUUCGAUACGGGCUUGCUAGGGUCCGGCAGGGGAGACUGGGAAUUCCUGGUGUAGCGGUGAAAUGCGCAGAUAUCAGGAGGAACACCGGUGGCGAAGGCGGGGUCUCUGGGCCGGUACCGACGCUGGAGGAGCGAAAGCGUGGGGAGCGAACAGG
rnacentral:rRNA from 1 species